rnacentral:rRNA from 1 species
UACGUAGGGUGCAAGCGUUUGUCCGGAAUUAUUGGGCGUAAAGAGCUUGUAGGCGGUUUGUCGCGUCUGCUGUGAAAUUUCGGGGCUCAACCCCGAACUUGCAGUGGGUACGGGCAGACUAGAGUGUGGUAGGGGAGACUGGAAUUCCUGGUGUAGCGGUGAAAUGCGCAGAUAUCAGGAGGAACACCGGUGGCGAAGGCGGGUCUCUGGGCCGAUAUGCGUGAGGAGCGAAAGCGUGGGGGAGCAAACAGG